rnacentral:ncRNA from 1 species
GCAAUUAAAAAUUUUGUAGUUGGAUCAUGGGUUGAGAUGUUUAGUCUACCUAUUCGAUGUGCACCUACUUUUUUGUCCUUUUCAUCGACGAUGCACUCCUAAUCUUAAUUGGUUUGGUCAUGAUUAUGGUGGCAUUACUUUGAAAAAAUUAGAGUGAUCAAGGAAAUAUUAUACUCUGGAUAUAUUAGCAUGGAAUAAUGUGUUGGAAAUAUAGUGUUAUGAUCUUGGCCUUAGUGCCUAGAUCAAAGUAAUGAUUAAUAAGGACUACCCAGGCCAUUAGUAUUUCAUCGGCAAAGGUAAAAUUCUUGGAUUAUGAAAGAUGGACUACUACUAAAUCAUUUACCAAGGAGGUUUUCAUCAAUUAAGAAUGAAAUUUGGGGACUUGAAGAUGAUCAUAUAUCAUCCCAGUCUCAACCAUAAAUGAUACCAACUAAGAAUCAAUGAAAGUUUCUCUAAGCACUCAACCAACACUUUAUCAAAAAUCAAAGUGUUUUUGUUGUG